GACGAACCGUGCGAACGUUGUUCGGAUUCACUGGGCUUAAAGGGCGCGUAGGCGGGUUUUCAAGUCUGGGGUGAAAUCCUCUCGCUCAACGAGAGAACUGCCCUGGAUACUGGAGACCUCGAGGGAGGUAGGGGCAUGUGGAACUUCCGGUGGAGCGGUGAAAUGCGUAGAUAUCGGAAGGAACGCCGGUGGCGAAAGCGACGUGCUGGACCUCUUCUGACGCUGAGGCGCGAAAGCUAGGGUAGCAAAUGGG
rnacentral:rRNA from 1 species